rnacentral:rRNA from 1 species
CCUACGGGAGGCAGCAGUGAGGAAUAUUGGUCAAUGGACGAGAGUCUGAACCAGCCAAGUAGCGUGAAGGAUGACUGCCCUAUGGGUUGUAAACUUCUUUUAUAUGGGAAUAAAACAGGGUAUGCAUACCCUCUGGUAUGUACCAUAAGAAUAAGGAUCGGCUAACUCCGGUCCAGCAGCCGCGGUAAUACGGAGGAUGCGAGCGUUAUCCGGAUUUAUUGGGCUAAAAGGGUGCGCAGGCGGAUUUUUAAGUCAGCGGUAAAAUCGUGGGGCUCAACCCCAUACAGCCGUGGAAACUGGGGAGCUAGAGUGUACGAGAGGUAUGUGGAAUGCGUGGUGUAGCGGUGAAAUGCGUAGAUAUCACGCAGAACCCCGAUGGCGAAGGCAGCAUACCGGUGUAUAACUGACGCUCAGGCACGAAAGCGUGGGUAUCGAACAGGAUUAGAUACCCCGGUAGUC